UUACCCAUAAAAAAAAAAAAUAAUAAUCUAAAAUAUGAAACUGAAGUUCUCAUUUUAUAAAUGUAUAUCUAGAAUGGAAUAGUUUAGUUGAAUGCAGCGAAACAAUUUCUCGAAAAUGAGUCAAUUAUAUUCUAUUUUUAGACAUUUUAUCACAUCCAAAUUUGAGUAAAUUAUAUAAUAUUUUAUCCUCAGCUUUUUCAUUACUGAAUUUUAAAAUUCAACGCUCACUGGGCUGCUAUUACAAUAACAAAAAUUAGGCUUCUGUCACCUUAAUAUUUAUGAUUAUAUUACAUUUAACAUUUUUACAAUGGUAAAAGUAAAAAGGAAAUACAGUACUAUACCUGGUAUGAUGUGUCUAUCCGGAGUUUCAAAUCUUUCAGGCAUUUGGAGGGCUUUAUAUAGAAUCAUUAUAUCAUGUUUAUCAAAGCGGAAUAGAAAAUUCAAAUUUCCUGCUGGUACUUUAUUAAUGUCAAAGCAAGCAGAAUCAUAUAACAUUUCCUGCUCUCUCCAUGAUGUUUGAACAGACAUGUACACGAGAUAAUUUUCUAACACUGAAUCGAGCAAAGCAAGCACUUCGAUAUCAUCCAUAUUUUUUUCUAACGACAGCCUCGAUUUUGGAUAGUUUUAUAACCUAACGUAUCCCACAAAACAUAACCGCCGCAAACGUCUUCAGCGCCGUCUACCGUAUGUGUUUUAUAAGUGUAUAAGCGUAU
rnacentral:lncRNA from 1 species